rnacentral:rRNA from 1 species
UACGUAGGAGGCAAGCGUUGUCCGGAAUUACUGGGUGUAAAGCGCGUGUAGGUGGGAGGCCAAGUCUGUGGUGAAAGCGCCCGGCUCAACUGGGCAGAGUCCAUGGAAACUGGUCACCUGGAGGACGGUAGAGGCGAGUGGAAUUCCCGGUGUAGUGGUGAAAUGCGUAGAUAUUAGGAAGAACACCAGUGGCGAAGGCGGCUCACUGGUCCGGUACUGACGCUGAGGUGCGAAAGCGUGGGGAGCAAACAGG